UAUAUGGUAUUAUGUUCAGUUAUGUAGACUAAUUCUCUGUUUUGUGUGAAAUAGGACCCAGAUGAGGAGGACCAAGAUGAUGAAGAGGAGGGAGAUUCCAAGGAUGAGGAUUCGGAGUACACUUUAGGCACAGCCGUUGAAAUCGGUCAUUUCUUCAGGGAAAGAAUCGUUCCGAGAGCAGUUUUGUAUUACACUGGAGAAGCCCUGGAGGAUGAUGAAAGUACCGGGGAUCCUCAGCCUGCAGAGUGCAAACAACAGUAGUUUGGAUCACUCACUCCUGCCACUGUCAAACCCCAUCAGCUCACCUAGAAUCAGCCCUGUAGUGCGGCGUACAUUCUCUGAUGAGCACACCAUCCAACAAAACAAAACAUGAUGAUGCAAUACAUUGGUAAACUAGUUUUUUAACCUACAAAAUUUGCUCACUUUAAAAUCCAGUUGCUAUACUACAACACUAUUGAUAAAUUGGGCAAUUCCAGAUUACAAUUCCCGGCUUCAGAAUGUAGAUAUAUACAUAAAUAAAUGUAAAACUAUUUUUUAAUUCAUCAUUUAGACAUGUACAGACAUAAUGACUUGAGAUAUGUCAUUGCAUAGCCAAAAAAAAACAAAAAAACUUGUAUUCUGACUUCCUGUGCACAUCUAACCUUUGUCAAGGUUGUUUGUAUUUAACAAAUAGUUUCUCUUCUCAUUUCUGAAGUGUUCCGUGUCAUGGGCAUAACCAUUUUUUAUGCAGUAUAUCUAUUUAUGUACUUUUUGAACAAAACUGUUUAUGUUCAUGCACUUAUUUAUGGAAUGUGCUAGCUAGCUAGCCAGUCCAACUAAUGUAUCUGCGAUAUCUUGCAGGCAUCAAUUAAUUGUGUUUAAUCAUAUCCGGCCUCUUUGCAAUAUAAAUAUCUAACAUUUCCAUCUUCAUUCGACUUUCUCUUUGAAGGUCAUAAUAAAAAAAAACUCUGCACUCCUCUACAUGAGUAUGCUCAGUCGAUGUAGUCUCAUUUUUUAUAUAUAUAUAUAUAUAUAUAUAUAUAAAUGUAUUUCAGUAUACGUUAUAUCCAUAAUGCUGGAAUUGCUCAAUUUAGAUAGUAUUCAAAGAUGAUAGGGCAAGUCCACUGCCAAUGGUCACUGAAUUCUGAGUGAACUGCAGGUGAUUACAUGUCCUUCGAGAUACAACAUCGCAUCCCAAAGUUGACUGAAUUCAUUUAUUUUGUGACUUAAUCUCAUAGAUUACUCAGGGUUUUUUAUGCCAAGAUGACAGUGUGCAAGUAUCCAGCAUUGUGAAACUGUUGAUAUCUAACCUGCUUCAUGUUCUCUUUUGUCUUGUAAAAGAAGGAAGACUUUUGAAAUGUGGCUUUUAGUUAUAACAGAGUUAUUUAUAUACAGUGGGUACGGAAAGUAUUCAGACCCCCUUAAACUGUAUAUUUUCCAUCUUUAUAUUAUUGUUUUGAACUCUGUCUUGGUCUUGUGCUUCUUGGUGGAUCCCUGAGAGAAUAUGUUUUGCUAAUGUAUGUAUUGUACCCAGUUGAUUAUAGCCCCUUUUAGCAUUUAAAAAUGCUUUUGCUGUACUGCCCAAGCACUUACAAAAAAAGUGUCUUUUAUUGCCAAAGAGAGUGAUCUGAUUUCACUUUACCACAACUUUUUCUGUGUCAAGAGUAUUUCAGGUCUGCAUUUCA
ensembl:lncRNA